rnacentral:rRNA from 1 species
UUGAACGCUGGCGGCAUGCCUAACACAUGCAAGUCGAACGGCAGCAUGUUAAUUCAUUUCGGUGAAUUGAUGAUGGCGAGUGGCGGACGGGUGAGUAACGCGUAGGAAUCUGCCUUUGAGAGGGGGACAACCCGGGGAAACCCGGGCUAAUACCGCAUAGUACUCUGAGGAGAAAAGCUGGGGCCCAUGGGAAACUGUGGCCUGGCGCUUAAAGAGGAGCCUGCGUCCGAUUAGCUUGUUGGUAGGGUAAAGGCCUACCAAGGCGAUGAUCGGUAGCUGGUCUGAGAGGAUGACCAGCCACACUGGGACUGAGAGACGGCCCAGACUCCUACGGGAGGCAGCAGUGGGGAAUAUUGGACAAUGGGGGGAACCCUGAUCCAGCGAUGCCGCGUGUGUGAAGAAGGCCUGAGGGUUGUAAAGCACUUUCGGUCGUGAGGAGAGGUAUUGGGUGAAGAGCCUGAUAGCUGGACGUUAACGACAGAAGAAGCACCGGCUAACUCCGUGCCAGCAGCCGCGGGUAAUACGGAGGGUGCAAGCGUUAAUCGGAAUGAUUGGGCGUAAAGGGCGCGUAGGUGGUAUACUGAGUCUGCUGUGAAAGACCUGGGCUUAACCUGGGGGUGUCAGCGGAGACGGGUAUACUGGAGUACAGUAGAGGGUCGUGGAAUUUCCGGUGUAGCGGUGAAAUGCGUAGAGAUCGGAAGGAACAUCAGUGGCGAAGGCGGCGACCUGGACUGACACUGACACUGAGGCGCGAAAAGCGUGGGGAGCAAACAGGAUUAGAUACCCUGGUAGUCCACGCUGUAAACGAUGUCAACGAGCUGUUUGGUCAUGUAAAGAUGAGUGAGUGGCGAAGCUAACGCGGUAAGUUGACCGCCUGGGGAGUACGGUCGCAAGAUUAAAACUCAAAGGAAUUGACGGGGGCCCGCACAAGCGGUGGAGCAUGUGGUUUUAAUUCGAUGCAACGCGAAGAACCUUACCUACCCUUGACAUGCCAGGAACCCUUUUGAGAAAGAGGGAGUGCCGAAAGGAAGCUGGAUACAGGUCGCUGCAUGGCUGUCGUCAGCUCGUGUCAUGAGAUGUUGGGUUAAGUCCCAUAACGAGCGCAACCCUUGUCUCUGAGUUACCAUCAAUGUGAAUGAUGGGGACUUCUAGAGAGACUGCCUGGUGAGCAAAGCCGGAGGAAGGCGGGGACGACGUCAAGUCAUCAUGGCCCUUAUGGGUAGGGCUACACACGUGCUACAAUGGUGCCGUACAAAGGGUUAAGCCAAGACGAGUACGGUGGAGCGAAUCCCAGUAAACGGCCAAUCGUAGUCCAGGAUUGGAGUCUGCAACUCGACUCCAUGAAGGUCGGAAUCGCUAGUAAUCGCAGAUCAGAAUGCGGCGGUGAAUACGUUCCCGGGCCUUGUACACACCGCCCGUCACACCAUGGGAGUGGGCUGCACCAGAAGUAGGUCGGCUUAACCGUCAGGGAGAGUGCUGACCACGGUGUGGUUCAUGACUGGGGUG